AUGGAUGUCCAUCCCAGACCUCCCCAAUCCUGACGCCCGACUCCAUCACCAGAUCUCGUGCACCGUCCCCAUGGCCCCAUCGGAUCAGGAUGGCGGUCAGCGAUUCGGUGGCGGGGAGAUCUCUCGGAAGCUCGGGCCGGGACGGGCUGGUUGGAGUGAGGAGGCAUGGCGUCAGCCUCCGACGGCUGGCACUGGAGGCCUUCACGUUCUGUGACCUGUCACGCCCAUGACCAGACUCGGCAACGACAAUUCCUUCAACCUCAGCGCGUCCAACCACGCCUACUACGCCUGCGGCAUGCCAGGCCACUGUCACAGGGGCUUGGCGUCGGCGAAGGCAUCAUCCUCCGAUGUCGUUCAUCAUCAGCGGAGCAAUCCGUCGGCUGGCACUGGAGGCCUUCGCGUCCUGCGAUCUGUCGCGCCCAUGCCCAGACUCGCCAACGGCAACUCUUAUGCACUGGGCCACUGCCGCUGGGGCUAGAAGCUCUGAAUCUGCCGUAGGGGCCAGAAACUCUAGGUCGACGUGCCAUUGCCCAGCAGCUCCUACCUCCAGGCCUCCGCCACCAACCUUGUCGCGCUCGCGCCCACCUCCACCGUCGACCCGCACGCAGGGUUCGCGUCUAUGGCUGCACCCUAGGGCGCCAACAACUUGCUCGUGUCCCACACCAUCACUGCAACUAGAUCCAUCGUUGCCCUCUCCUUUGCGCUCCAGGUCCUUCUUCUCUGAACUAUGCGGUACAGUAGCUGGUUAGCUACCUCUAUCUCGCUGUAGUUUUGAAAUCUCUAAUUUUUUUUAUGUGCGUGGAAUGAAAGUGACCCAGUUCUUUCUUGCACUAAAAAAUGAAUUGAAUUCGUGAUCUUUGGAUGCAUGGAUGGAUGGAUGGAUGGACGGUCGGAGGCAGCUUGGAUCUUCAUUUAUUUUGUUUGUUUUUUCUUUUUUUGUUGGAUUCCACUAAUAUUGUCUACUUCCAUUAAUUAAAUUUAUUUGAUUAGCUAUAACACAUUAUGUGGUUAGGAAACGAGCGCGGAGGAUGAGGCGAAGGAGUGGGCUGUCUAGGUGGAUCCAUGGAUGCUCAUCACCUUCUUGCUGUCGUGGUGCGGCAAAGGUCUGAAGCACAUCCGAUUUUGAAUAACAAUCAGAAUGGUAAUUCCAGUUCAAAGGGGAAAUGACAGAAAAGUCGCAAAGUCAUCGAUAAUUUUGUACUAGAUCACCAAUAUCAGCAUAGGAAAUCCAGAAGAAAUCUGUCAAUGGUGCUAACCAUCAUCUCCAGCUACAUGGCUAGCCUGACGAUGCAGCAACUGUCUAUGGGCAUUUAGAGACUGGACAACCCCUUUUCCAGCAAUGACCCCAUCGGCUACCCUACUAGGUCGACUCCUUCGCCCGAAGCUACAUGACGGACGAGCUGGCUGGCGUGCCAACGUCGCUCCUUCAGGAGCUAGCCUACGCAUCGACAACCUAUAGUGUGGCCCAGUAAUGGCGAUAUGGCGACCAGCUACCAACAUGGAACUCUUCCUCUCCAUCAACUACCAGUUCAAGAAUGUGGGACAAGAGCUCACCAAGAGCAGAUGAGGACCUGGUGGGCCUAGCAAUGGCAGCAUGGCGCGGUGGCGACGAGCUGCUAUGUGCAGCUCUUCCUCUCAGUAACUACCAGUUCACGACAGUGUGGUAGGAGUUCAUCAAGAUCGGAUAGGGAUCGCAAGUUGGACAUGUUUUUUUGUCUAUCUACAUACUGUGUUUGGAGAUGUA